GGGAUCGAGGAUUGGAGGGGUGAGAGGCGGGCCCGACGACGGUGGGGGUGGGCGUGGGCGUGGAGGAGUGUUCGGUGCUGCGGGAGGUGGUGGUGGCAGCGUAGUCCAUGGCCAUGAUGAUGUGUCUCCAGCUUGAGAAGGCCGAGGUCCAAAUGGAGCUCCACCAGUUCCACUGAGAUUCUGGGCGCCUCCACGACGCCGGUAAACAUAGAUAAGUGGAUAAAACAACAAGCUAUUUGGAUAAAAAGCAGGGGACAGAGUUAGAGUUUUGCUUAAGUCUUCUGGAUGGCACACUCCUGUCGUACCACAAAUCAGAACCAAUGCGUCAAUAGGUUAAGGGUGCAACAUUGUAACAUACUACUGAAAUAUGUGGUUCAACAUCUCUCAGUAACAAUCUCCUCUGGACAUUUGAUAAAAUUUGUGUAGUAAAGGUGCAAGGAUGUUUAAAAUUGG